rnacentral:rRNA from 1 species
UGGGCCAUCGCCUGCGCUCCGCCCGAGGAUGGGGCUGCGGCCUAUCAGGUAGUUGGCGGGGUAACGGCCCGCCAAGCCGAAGACGGGUAGGGGCCGUGAGAGCGGGAGCCCCCAGAUGGGCACUGAGACAAGGGCCCAGGCCCUACGGGGCGCACCAGGCGCGAAAACUCCGCAAUGCGGGAAACCGUGACGGGGCUACCCCGAGUGCCCCCCUUGUGGGGGCUUUUCCCCGCUGUAAGAAGGCGGGGGAAUAAGCGGGGGGCAAGUCUGGUGUCAGCCGCCGCGGUAAUACCAGCCCCGCGAGACCGGGGCCCUAAACAAGCCCCGGCGCGACUGGUCGGGGUGAUUAUUGGGCCUAAAGCGGCCGUAGCCGGCCCGGUAAGUCCCCCCUGAAAGUCUCGGGCUCAACCCGAGAAGCGGGGGGAUACUGCCGGGCUAGGGGGCGGGAGAGGCCGAGGGUACUCCCGGGGUAGGGGCGAAAUCCUAUAAUCCCGGGAGGACCACCAGUGGCGAAGGCGCUCGGCUGGAACGCGCCCGACGGUGAGGGCCGAAAGCCGGGGGAGCGAACCGGAUUAGAUACCCGGGUAGUCCCGGCUGUAAACGAUGCGGGCUAGGUGUUGGGCGGGCGAGAGAGCCCGCCCAGUGCCGCAGGGAAGCCAUUAAGCCCGCCGCCUGGGGAGUACGGCCGCAAACCUGGUUAGGGCUUAGAGCCCUACCGGGGCGGAAGGCUGAAACUUAAAGGAAAGGGAGGCUGGAAGCUGGGUGCAAAGGCUUAAAUAGCUCUUUUAGGCUUCUAAGUUCCAUCUUUACCCUCUUUAUCUGUCUGCCCAGCUUCCACUUCCCCCUGAAUUGGCGGGGGAGCACACAAGGGGUGGAGCCUGCGGCUUAAUUGGAUUCAACGCCGGA